UCCAAUUCAUUCUUCUUGGCAAGAUAAACCUCGAAGGCUUUCUCAGGAGUUGAGAAAGUUCCCAGCCAAAUCCGGCGAUUGUCCUUAAUCUCCGAUGAGCCAUUGAAUAAAGAUGUCCGAAUGUUUCUAAUCAUUAUCCACACAAGUAUUCACUACUUUAUCCUGCUGAUAAAGGGGAGGAGAGAUUUCAAUUAUUUAUGUUUUAAGCAUCACCAAACAACAAGGGAAAAAAUGAAUAUAAACUUGGGGAUCCUUACCUCCUUCGGAAAAGGUCACAAAAGCCAACUCCAAUUCGCCUUACUAAAAGAACUAAAGGUAAGUUAUGGAGUUUGG
rnacentral:lncRNA from 1 species